rnacentral:rRNA from 1 species
AUGCCACAACUCUUCCUGGAAUUAUACUGUCAACUUAUGCUGAAUUUUUUAUUUGUAUGUAGGCCACAAGUGAUAAUUGCUACAUCUAUUAUGUUCUGUCACCGUUUUUACCUUCGUCAAUCUCAUGCAAAAAAUGAUAGACGAACAAUCGCUACUGUUUGCAUGUUCUUGGCUGGAAAAGUCGAAGAAACACCCAGGCCUUUGAAGGAUGUCAUCCUGGUUUCUUAUGAGCUUAUUCAUAAAAAGGAUCCUGCUGCUGGUCAGAAAAUCAAGCAGAGGGCAGCGGGAGCGCCGGUCCAGACCAUGGACGCAGCUUGGUCGAGCUAUAACGAGUGCAUCUAA